rnacentral:lncRNA from 1 species
AAACAAACGCAUUGAAAAUAUCCUUCCGUUUCGCGGUCUCCAGCCUGAUGAUUGCAAUCUUUUCGAAACGGGCACCCACGACAACCACUCCUCCCGAAAAAAUCGAAACGCCGGCGCGGUAAAAAUUCCGCUUUUACCCCUUCUCAGACCACCUUUAAAUAUCAGCACGUCCCGUACUCCCCUUACGAGCUCACGUCUUCCUUCUUUAGCGCACGGGUCUUCUUCUUCCUCCGGCGCCUUCCUUAGCUUCCAGUUUUCCCCAGCGUCUCCUUCC